GUCGAGAUAGCCAAGCUUGGUCCAAGGCGGACGCCUCGAAAGCGUUUGUGCUCUGCACACGGGGGUUCAAAUCCCUCUCUCGGCG
rnacentral:tRNA from 1 species